UAAUUUAUACGCCCUUCUAUGACUUUUGAAUAUCUUGAUGUACGCCAUUUGUGGCUUUGAAUAUUGUUGUCAUUGUUUCUUGACGACUUUGAGCAAGUUGGCGAGUCGCCCUUCCUCUUUUUUCAUUGUAUUUGCAUUUUCAAGCUAGCGUUGUCACCAAUCUCGCCUCUUCAUCUUUCGCGAUUCGUCCCUCCUUGUCUUCUUGAAAUCAAAAUGAAACUUUGAGGCUAGUAACUUUGUUGGUCUGUACUUCUGCUUCUUCUACUCAACAUGAGUUUCUUAUUUUCUUUGACACUCUAUAUUUGAGGAUUGUAAGUAUUCUGGCGUAAUCUGUCUCGCCAGUUCUUUGUUGUAGUUGAUUUUCGUACUGCCAGGCUUGCACGCCUUAUUUUGUAACUUCUUGGCGAUUUAAAAAGAAUUGGCGCUGCUCGGAGUCGCCUUUCCAUUAUACUUUGUGUUUGGUGUUGAAAAUAAUCUCGCCUUUGAAAUUUUUAACUUUGCACCUGC
rnacentral:lncRNA from 1 species